UGCGGAGGAUGCGAGCGUUAUCCGGAUUUAUUGGGUUUAAAGGGUGCGUAGGCGGCUUUUUAAGUCAGCGGUGAAAUUUUGCAGCUUAACUGUAACAGUGCCGUUGAUACUGGGGAGCUAGGAUUUGGUUGCUGUGGGUGGAAUGUGUGGUGUAGCGGUGAAAUGCUUAGAGAUCACACAGAAUAUCGAUUGCGAAGGCAGCUCACAAAGCCAAGAUUGACGCUGAGGCACGAAAGUGUGGGGAUCAAACAGGAUUA
rnacentral:rRNA from 1 species